ensembl:lincRNA
AUGAGCCUUUGGGUUCCAAGGCACUCCCUUGUAAAAACGCAGCUGCAGCACAGCUUGGAAAGUACAGGCUGCUGGGGGUGCUGCGGGGACUGGAAAGAGUUCCAGGGGGGGGGGGGGGGGAGGGGUGGCUUUCCCGGGAGCCGGGCCCCUCUGUGCCUUCCACUGCCACUCCGACCGGGAGCAGGAGCGACGCAGCAGGAAGGGCUCCUUCCGGUAACAGGGUCGGGAAACACGUGUAGCCUCCGGAGACCUUGGGGUCUAUCGCUCCUCCCCCAACUGCGGCAGAAAAUGUAAGGAGCGUCAGAAUUUAAAACCCUAGAAUCCCUGUUAUUGAACUAAAAAUUUGGUUGGCUCAUUUUAGUAAUACUAGCCCUGUCCUUCCCUGAGUUUUCAUUUAAAUCCAUUUUUCUCUUCCCCCUUGCCUCACACCGAAUUCGAGUAAUGGGGUAGGGGGUGGUGAUAAUGAACCAGGGAUCUAGAAUAGAGUCUGGAGGCCAGAGGGGUGGGGGUAGUUUGACUGUGAGCACCUCUGCAAGAUAAACAGUUUUGAAGGUCAGUGAUGGCUCUCCAUUGGGUCCUCCUGAAAGGAUUAACAUUCAUUAAGGAAUUCUCUGUCAACAUUUUUCUUAUAAACCCAAGCUGUAAAAGUCCGAAGUAUUUCAGAUAUUCCAAUUGCAAUAAUGCAUUGAAAACCUACAUAUUAAUUAACUAUUGUGAACUCUCCAAAAAUAAAAUUAUCAAAAUCCUGGGAGCACUUACAAGAAUAUCUGUAAAAUGGAAAUGUGUGUUAUUCAACCAAGAUUAAAUGAAGACUGCAAAAAUAUUGUUUUAUUUGGUAGCAAGGAUAUGGAAAAUUGAAUGACACAAUAUUUGGAAACCAGAAGCCAGUCAUUUAAAAAAAAAAAAAAAGAGUCAUGUUUAUUACAUAACCAGAAUUUUAAAAAUAGAUAUACACAGUAAUUUAAAGUCGGCCAUCAAUACAAACUAACCAUAUCUGUGAAGUGACAUUUCAUCCCUAGAUCUUUUAGCCUCCCCUCGGCAGUUGGCCCCUUACCUUUAUUUUCAGAAUCUUUCAUUCUCUCUUUCCUCCCUCUGCUGCAAAUGAGCAGGAAAGUCCAGCUGAUUCUGCAAACCUGACUUUUGAUUUGUCAUUCACAGAAAGUCAGCGGUCUCAGGGGUGAAGUCCCUCAACGCAGGAGCACCCGAGCUCUGAUAAUUGCCUGCAAGUCAGUGUGCGGGGUGAUAAUUUUGCUUAUGCUAGAGCAGAAAGGAUGGGGAUGAAGGCCGACGUAAACACAAAUUCCAAAACAUGGCAUGGAACUGGAUCUGGAGUCUAGGCUUGCCUUUCCUUCUCUUAGAUAAGGGAACCAAAUGUUUGGUGCCUCCUAGGCUCUGUAGAGAUUCGGUUCAGGUUCAAAGGGGGAAGGUCUGUGCCAUGUGCCAAGCUUAUUCUCAAAGGGAGACCAUGAUUUCGGAGAGAAUUAAGAGACUUGUGCUUUGUUUUCUUUUUCAUAUUCAUUCAUUCAACAAUUAUUUCUUCUACUCUGUGGCCCAGGUUCCAUGCUAAGUAGUGGGGUCUAGUCCUACUCCUCAAGCUGCUCACAGGCUGUUACAAGACAGAGGCAUACAGUGACCCAUGUCUGCUGCAUGGACACAGAUUACUGAACCCAUUUCAUCCGGGCAUAAGUUGAUGGUCAAGAAUGAGCCAGAAAUGGGCAUGAGGAAGCAAGACCAUGGGAGCCCUCUCUUAGAGGGCAAGGAAAAUUCAAGCAAAUCUUUCAAUCAUCCAAUUCCAGCUUACUUUCAAUCAUUACAUAGCUCAGAUUCGUUCCUUCAUUCCUUCACUGAACAAAUGUUUAUUUGUGCCAGGUAGAAUUCCAUCUGUUAGGGACUCAGGAGUGCAGGAAACAGACCAAAUCCUGUUCUUGUGGCUAUUACAUUUUGGUGAGAGUAUUCAGACAGACUAUAAACAAACAAAUGUAAACAUACAGUAAAUGGCAAUAAAUGCCAUGAGGAAAAAUGAAGCACAGUAAUGAAGUAACAGACAUGCCAUUUUAAACAGGUGGUGAGAGGAAGUGACAUUUAAUUUCUUUUACGAAAAAAUGGAUCAGGGUCAUCAUAGUCCCUUCCAAAUAUCUUCACUCUGAUUUUUUUUUUUUAAGUGCUCACUCCUCACCACCUUCUCUGCUCCAGGUGUACUCUAGGUGAUGGGGAGGGAGGGUUAUUUCCCUUUAUAAAUGGGUAAAUUGAUAUCCAAAAAGAUGAACACCCCAAUUCAGGACCUCACUAAGCUGUAAGAAGAGCAACAAGGAGAAAAC